GUCUAUGUAGAGGUCUAACACGGACUUGUAAGCGGGAUUUGUCGCAAGCGGAGUUAGGUCCUUGAUCUACAGUAAACAACGGACCAGAUUAAAAUGAAGAGUCGUUGUAUCUGCGGGUAAAAAUUCGGGCAUUUCCAUUAAACCGCGGUAACUACAAUUGACUGAAGUAAAAGCUAUGAGCUGUCUCUGUUGUCUGAAAAUCAGAUUGAUUUAGCGGGGAACUCAAGAUCUGUUUAAUCAUCAGUUACAAGAAGAAGAUGCA